GCUUCCUGCCCAAUCACUAUCCCAUCGGUUGCCCUUGCUUUUCCCUUUUAAACCAAAUACCAUAAUCAAUCGUUCCUUUGAUAUAUCUCAACGUUCAUUUAGCAACACCAAGAUGAACUUGACUUGGAGCUUGCAUAAACCGCGAACAUGAGAUCGGGUCUUAUUGCUGUCAAAUACAGCAAACUACCAAUCAGACUUCUAUAAACAAUUUCUAAACUCCAGAAAGACAUUCAUCUUUUUCUCAAGAUUCUGAAUCUGCUGCUAGCGCUCUUCACAGCCCGUCUUCUUCAGAUUACUCACCCGGAAUUACUCCAAGUCAGGAUGAUUCAGCUGUAAUUAUUCAGAAGAGGAAAUUGGGGAAGAUGGCAAAAAGUUAUGCAUAUAGAAUUCGUGAGCAUGUGAAAUUGGGUUCGAAGUUUUCAGAUAUG